rnacentral:rRNA from 1 species
AUUGAACGCUGGCGGAAUGCUUUACACAUGCAAGUCGAACGGUAGAGGGGGCAACCCCUCGAGAGUGGCGAACGGGUGAGUAAUAUAUCGGAACGUGCCCAGUCGUGGGGGAUAACGUAGCGAAAGUUACGCUAAUACCGCAUACGAUCUAAGGAUGAAAGCGGGGGAUCGCAAGACCUCGCGCGAUUGGAGCGGCCGAUAUCAGAUUAGGUAGUUGGUGGGGUAAAGGCUCACCAAGCCAACGAUCUGUAGCUGGGCUGAGAGGACGAACAGACACACUGGAACUGAGAAACGGUCCAGACUCCUACGGGAGGCAGCAGUGGUGAAUUUUGGACAAUGGACGCAAGUCUGAUCCAGCCAUUCCGCGUGCAGGAUGAAGGCCCUCGGGUUGUAAACUGCUUUUGUACGGAACGAAAAGGUCUCUCUUAAUACGGGGGACUCAUGACGGUACCGUAAGAAUAAGCACCGGCUAACUACGUGCCAGCAGCCGCCGUAAGAC